rnacentral:rRNA from 1 species
AUUGAACGCUGGCGGCAGGCUUAACACAUGCAAGUCGAGCGGAGAUGAGGUGCUUGCACCUUAUCUUAGCGGCGGACGGGUGAGUAAUGCUUAGGAAUCUGCCUAUUAGUGGGGGACAACAUUCCGAAAGGAAUGCUAAUACCGCAUACGUCCUACGGGAGAAAGCAGGGGAUCUUCGGACCUUGCGCUAAUAGAUGAGCCUAAGUCGGAUUAGCUAGUUGGUGGGGUAAAGGCCUACCAAGGCGACGAUCUGUAGCGGGUCUGAGAGGAUGAUCGGCAACACUGGGACUGGAACACGGCCCAGACUCCGACGGGAGGCAGAAGUGGGGAAUAUUGGACAAUGGGGGGAACCCUGAUCCAGCCAUGCCGCGUGUGUGAAGAAGGCCUUAUGGUUGUAAAGCACUUUAAGCGAGGAGGAGGCUACUGAGACUAAUACUCUUGGAUAGUGGACGUUACUCGCAGAAUAAGCACCGGCUAACUCUGUGCCAGCCGCCGCGGUAA